GCCGCGUUGGUGUAACGGUAGCACAUCCCUCCCUGUCAGUGGGAAAAUCUCGGUUCGAAUCCGGGGCGCGGCU
rnacentral:tRNA from 1 species